UACGAAGGGUGCAAGCGUUACUCGGAAUUACUGGGCGUAAAGCGUGCGUAGGUGGUUUGUUAAGUCUGUUGUGAAAGCCCCGGGCUCAACCUGGGAAUGGCAAUGGAUACUGGCAGGCUAGAGUGCGGUAGAGGGUAGUGGAAUUCCCGGUGUAGCGGUGAAAUGCGUAGAGAUCGGGAGGAACACCAGUGGCGAAGGCGGCUACCUGGACCAGCACUGACGCUGAGGCACGAAAGCGUGGGGAGCGAACAGG
rnacentral:rRNA from 1 species